GGGCACGUAGUGUAGGGGUUAUCGCGCCUCAUUCGCAUUGAGGAGGUCCCCGGUUCAAUUCCGGGCUUGUCCA
rnacentral:tRNA from 1 species